rnacentral:siRNA from 1 species
UGAGGAUAUUAAACGUCAUGA